GCUCUCUUCUGUAGCACAUACUAAAAUUGGAAUGAUACAGAGAAGAUUAGCAUGGUUCCUGAGCAAGGAUGACAUGCAAAUUUGUGAAACAUUCCAAUAUAUA
rnacentral:snRNA from 1 species